AGAGUUUGAUCAUGGCUCAGAUUGAACGCUGGCGGCAUGCCUUACACAUGCAAGUCGAACGGCAGCACGGGAGCAAUCCUGGUGGCGAGUGGCGAACGGGUGAGUAAUAUAUCGGAACGUGCCCAGUAGUGGGGGAUAGCCCGGCGAAAGCCGGAUUAAUACCGCAUACGACCUGAGGGUGAAAGCGGGGGAUCGCAAGACCUCGCGCUAUUGGAGCGGCCGAUAUCAGAUUAGCUAGUUGGUGGGGUAAAGGCCUACCAAGGCUACGAUCUGUAGUUGGUCUGAGAGGACGACCAGCCACACUGGGACUGAGACACGGCCCAGACUCCUACGGGAGGCAGCAGUGGGGAAUUUUGGACAAUGGGCGCAAGCCUGAUCCAGCAAUGCCGCGUGCAGGAAGAAGGCCUUCGGGUUGUAAACUGCUUUUGUCAGGGAAGAAAUCUUCUGGGCUAAUACCCCGGGAGGAUGACGGUACCUGAAGAAUAAGCACCGGCUAACUACGUGCCAGCAGCCGCGGUAAU
rnacentral:rRNA from 1 species